GUCUCUAUGGUUUGGCAAUGUCUAUGCUCGUUCGGCGCAGUCAUUGGUCGAGAGCUGUGCAAUAAACAUAGCCUUAAGUCGAGCAUAUACAAAUUCGCUCUGUCAUUGGUCCAAAGUAUAUGCUCACUCCGCUAAUCAUGUUAUUCAAAUAAACGUAACUACCAAUCACAGUGCACGUAUGCAAAUCUGCGCUUAGCGAGCAACAGAGCCGAGGAAAUAAAUUGGUGCCAUAUAUAUCUUAUUUCUUGCAAACUUUUAUAUUUUACCGCUUGCCAUUUUAAAGGAUUGGUUUGCAAGUUUCUGCACAACUGUAUAUCAGUAGGGUACAACUGAGGAGGCGACUUCAGUCCAUUUGCGAACCCAGAAGCCCCUGAAAAUCGCCAGCAGGCCAUACUGGUGGCGACCAAAGAGGCUCGCCAGUACAGGGAAAAAAGGAUGGUCUUCCCUACACCUCCAUUGGAGUUGCUGAACCACACGACUGCCCUAGCCCAUGCAGGGAAGAUCCUUGUGAAAGAGGGGAUCCCCGCACCUACGCAUCAGCAGUGUCUGGGAAAGCUAGUCGUGCCAUUUGGCCAGUAUGAAAAUGCACCUUUUCACAGGCUUGUGAAAAUGAUUAUUGACAGUGUUUUUAUUCCAUAACAGAUCCCCAUACUGUCGCAUUCAAAUGGCCUUUUCUCUCAUGUAUGCUAUUGUGAAGCACGUUAGAAUAUUUAUUCUAGACUGUUUGUGUGUCCUCUUAAUACACUGCAGCCAGAAUAGAAGACAUAAUAACCCAACAUUCAGUUAAACAAACAAACAAGCAAAUAAACUGGAAAUAAAUAAUAAUAAAAACA